UCGGGAAUUUUGGGCAAUGGGCGAAAGCCUGACCCAGCAACGCCGCGUGAAGGAUGAAGUAUUUCGGUAUGUAAACUUCGAAAGAAUAGGAAGAAUAAAUGACGGUACUAUUUAUAAGGUCCGGCUAACUACGUGCCAGCAGCCGCGGUAAUACGUAGGGACCAAGCGUUGUUCGGAUUUACUGGGCGUAAAGGGUGCGUAGGCGGCAUAUCAAGUCACUUGUGAAAUCUCCGGGCUUAACUCGGAACUGCCAAGUGAUACUGAUGUGCUAGAGUGCAGAAAGGGCAACUGGAAUUCUUGGUGUAGCGGUGAAAUGCGUAGAUAUCAAGAGGAACACCUGAGGCGAAGGCGAGUUGCUAGGCUGACACUGACGCUGAGGUACGAAAGCUAGGGGAGCGAACGGGAUUAGAUACCCCAGUAGUCCCUGAGCGGGCUGGCAAGGCGCAU
rnacentral:rRNA from 1 species